rnacentral:tRNA from 1 species
GCCUCGGUAGCUCAAUUGGCAGAGCAGGUGACUUUUAAUCAUUGGGUUGUGGGUUCGAGUCCCACCCGUGGUACGA